GGCCUACGCGAGUUCCCGCCCCCGUUCUUUGCUCCAAGGAAGGCGUUGCCCGCAGGAAGCGUGCAUUUUAGUCCGCCCUUCCAAUAAAAUUGACAGAAUUUGGCUUUUCAAACUUUGUGAAGAGAGUAUCUGGGCAUCCAAGUACCUGCAAGAUCUCUUUGCAAGAAAAUAGACAAACUGCUUCAGUCAACUGUAAUCUUGUCACAUCACCAAGAUGAAUCUGUUGGCCAGAAGUGCAAUCAGUUGUCUCAAGAUUCAAAGAAUUCAGCAAUUUAGGGCACGGCUUAGCCAUACAAAAUGUGCACAAGGUUUUCAUGACAGAUACGGAAAUGUUCUACUAGUCAGUGGAGGUGCUUUCUGUUUUGUUACAUGGUGGUUUGUACUCACUCAGUCUGGAGUAAAUUUGAAUCUUUCCCCUGUUGGCAGAGUCACCCCCCAAGAGUGGAAUGGUUAGUAACCAUCAGAGUUGCUACAAAGCAGAAUUAUUUGAAAUGUAAAUUGCCUUUAAGUUGGGGGAUGUUAUUUAGAAUAUAUCAUAAAUGAA